rnacentral:snoRNA from 1 species
UAGCAUAUGGAAAUGUCUACCCCUCAUUCCUUCAGGGGUAGGAAUACAUCCAUAACGCUACAUUUAAAAAGGAGUUUUCAGGGCUGUCAACCUUACAGUAGAGGUUUUCUCAUACAUAA